UACAGAGGUCCCGAGCGUUGUUCGGAUUCACUGGGCGUAAAGGGUGCGUAGGUGGUGACGUAAGUCGGAUGUGAAAUCGUCGGAGCUAACUCCGAAACUGCAUUGGAAACUGCGUUGCUAGAGGGUUGGAGGGGGGACUGGAAUGCUUGGUGUAGCAGUGAAAUGCGCAGAUAUCAGGAGGAACACCUAUGGCGAAGGCAGCUCGCUGGGACGGCACUGACGCUGAGACGCGAAAGCGUGGGGAGCAAACAGG
rnacentral:rRNA from 1 species